UUAGUGUGCCAUAAGGCAAUUUAGCGUUAUGUUAAGCAAUCGUAAUUGGACUUAUGUAGAAGUCACAACUAUCUGAGGCCGGUCAAUAAUAAUGUUGGCAACAAUACAAGUUAGAGGUCUUGAUUAGUGAAUCAAACUCCAACAACUUGUCAUGCCAAAAAGAAAAUGAGAAAUGAUCUUGUAUUGAUUUAGGUUCUUUGCAUGAUUUAGGAAGCAACCUAUCCUUAAUGCAAAGUCAUUCACUUGAUCCAUGAUCAAGAUGAAUUAGAUUUGAAUCAAGG
rnacentral:lncRNA from 1 species